rnacentral:lncRNA from 1 species
GUUAAGAGUCAGCUUUUCACUCACCACAUGUCAGUCCAGUCAGCAGAUUCUUUAUCAGUCUCCAUUCCAAGUUGAACUCCCAGUAGAGCUCCCAGUAGAACUCUCUCACAGGAGGUUCCACUCCAAGUGAUGAGUUCCAAGUCAAACUGCACUCAGGCAGUUGUCAUUCCCUUUUAAAGGCACUUUCUUUUGCUUCACUUCCCCUAAGUUUUUACAUCUAACCAAUCACAGUUAAUGCUUUUGCUUUUAGGACUUCCCAGGGGCAGUCAGUGGAUUUUGAUUCGUCACCCACUAUUUCACACAUGGGUCACAGACCUCCCACUUAAUGUGUGAAAGGGGUGUUUACACUUUUGGUGAUUAAAUCUGAAAAUAGGCAGGGAGGGGUUACAAUUUAAUGUUCACAAUCAGGGGAAGAGUUAAUUAAUUUCAUUGCUAUAAUCAAGGGAGAGUUAAAUUUAAUCUUCACAGUAGCCAACAAGAAAAAAAUAAUGAUAGCCUAGGUUGCACUAGGAGACAAAGUAAAUGACCCAAGAGACAAGUUUUGUUUUGUUUUUAUAUUAUGCCCAGGUUUGGAGUAUUGAAUUCACCUUGGAAAGUAUAUGAGCAGGGGGCAAGUAGGUGGUUCAGUGGAUAAAGAACCAGACCUGGAGAUGGGAGGUCCUGGGUUCAAAUGUGACCUCAGACACUUCCUAGCUGUGUGACCCUGGGCAAAUCGCUUAACCCCCAUUGCCUAGCCUUUACUGUUCUUCUGCUUUGGAAUCUAUGCAUCAUAUUGAGUCUAAGAUGGAAGAUGAGGAAACUGAGACAAACUGGGUCAAGUGAUGUGCCCAGAGACACACAGUGAGGAUGUACUUGAAGCCAGAUUUGAAUUCUUGAAGAUGAGACUUCCUGACUCUAAGCCCAGCAUUCUAUCCAUUGUGCCACCCAGCUAUUCUAUCUUCCUCUGAAUGUGGAUGGUGUUCUUUCUCAUAGAUCCCUCCAAGUUGUUCAGGUUCACUGCAUUGCCACUAAUGGAGAAGUCCACUACAUUCGAUUGUACAAUGUAAAAAAUAGACUCGAAUACAGGACUACAAUCCCCAUGAGCCUUUGCUCCACUUCCCCAGAAUGCCUUGUAAUCUCACCUGGGCCGAGAUCGAGAAGGUAUUUAAGCGGAUCCAAAGGCUGUUGAAGGGGGCUUGGUUUUUUUUGGACUUCCGUUUUGGAGCAGAGGCGUCUCUUCCAUGAUGUGAGGCUAUUUUGUCUAGGCCUCUGGCCUAGGCACAUGUUUCUUACUUGUAUAUUCUUAAUCUUUAACCUUUAAUAAACCUCUAAAAAAUAUAAUACUCCUUGCA